GCGCAGUUGGUGCAAUGGCGUACAGCAUUCCCGCCCGGUCAGCAGGAAGUGCGGGUUCGAGUCCCGCCUGGCGCU
rfam:Heligmosomoides polygyrus genome assembly, scaffold: HPBE_scaffold0001184